rnacentral:sRNA from 1 species
UUUCACCACUUUGGGAUUGCUCUACCACAACUGGUACCCAUCACGGGUGUUUGUGGGAGAUACCUUCUGUUACUUUGCUGGCAUGACCUUUGCCGUGGUGGGCAUCUUGGGACACUUCAGCAAGACCAUGCUACUAUUCUUCAUGCCCCAGGUGUUCAACUUCCUCUACUCACUGCCUCAGCUCCUGCAUAUCAUCCCCUGCCCUCGCCACCGCAUACCCAGACUCAAUAUCAAGACAGGCAAACUGGAGAUGAGCUAUUCCAAGUUCAAGACCAAGAGCCUCUCUUUCUUGGGCACCUUUAUUUUAAAGGUAACAGGGUAACAAGGAGGUAAGGCCCUAGGCUGCCAUCCUGACCUUGAGGAAUGGGGAACCUAGGCGUACAUCAGAUCCAAGGGGAACUUGAAAGCAUUAAAUAGAUCCACAUUCCUAAAGCAUA